GGAGAGGUCGCAUAGUGGUCUAGUGCACUCGCUUGGAGAGCGAGCAGACGUGAGUCUCGUAGGUUCGAAUCCUAUUCUCUCCG
rnacentral:tRNA from 1 species